rnacentral:rRNA from 1 species
UACGGAGGAUCCAAGCGUUAUCCGGAAUCAUUGGGUUUAAAGCGUGCGCAGGCGGUUUUGUAAGUCUGUCGUGAAAGCCCUGGGCUCAACCUGGGAAUUGCGAUGGAGACUGCAAGGCUUGAAUCCGGGAGAGGGAUGCGGAAUUCCAGGUGUAGCGGUGAAAUGCGUAGAUAUCUGGAGGAACACCGGUGGCGAAGGCGGCAUCCUGGACCGGCAUUGACGCUGAGGCGCGAAAGCCAGGGGAGCAAACGGG